rnacentral:rRNA from 1 species
UUCGCCCUUAGAGUUUGAUCCUGGCUCAGGACGAACGCUGGCGGCGUGCUUAACACAUGCAAGUCGAACGGAGCGCCUAUGAAGGAGAUUUCGGUCAACGGAAUAGGCUGCUUAGUGGCGGACGGGUGAGUAACGCGUGAGGAACCUGCCUUUCAGAGGGGGACAACAGUUGGAAACGACUGCUAAUACCGCAUAACACAUAGGUGUCGCAUGGCAUUUAUGUCAAAGAUUUAUCGCUGAAAGAUGGCCUCGCGUCUGAUUAGCUAGUUGGUGAGGUAACGGCUCACCAAGGCGACGAUCAGUAGCCGGACUGAGAGGUUGGCCGGCCACAUUGGGACUGAGAUACGGCCCAGACUCCUACGGGAGGCAGCAGUGGGGAAUAUUGGGCAAUGGGCGCAAGCCUGACCCAGCAACGCCGCGUGAAGGAAGAAGGCUUUCGGGUUGUAAACUUCUUUUGACAGGGAAGAAUACAAGACGGUACCUGUCGAAUAAGCCACGGCUAACUACUUGCCAUCAUCCGCGGUAAUACCUAGGUGGGCAAGCGGUUGUCCGGAUUUACUGGGUGUAAAGGGCGUGUAGCCGGGUUGACAAGUCAGAUGUGAAAUCCCUGCGGGCUUAACCCGCACAACUGCAUUUGAAACCUGUUGAUCUUGAGUACUGGAGAGGGCAGACGGAAUUCCCUAGUGUAGCGGUGAAAUGCGUAGGUAUUAGGAGGAACACCAGUGGCGAAGGCGGUCUGCUGGACAGCAACUGACGGUGAGGCGCGAAAGCGUGGGGAGCAAACAGGAUUAGAUACCCUGGUAGUCCACGCUGUAAACGAUGGAUACUAGGUGUGCGGGGACUGACCCCCUGCGUGCCGCAGCUAACGCAAUAAGUAUCCCACCUGGGGAGUACGAUCGCAAGGUUGAAACUCAAAGGAAUUGACGGGGGCCCGCACAAGCGGUGGAUUAUGUGGUUUAAUUCGAUGCAACGCGAAGAACCUUACCAGGGCUUGACAUCCUACUAACGAAGUAGAGAUACAUUAGGUACCCUUCGGGGGAAGUAGAGACAGGUGGUGCAUGGUUGUCGUCAGCUCGUGUCGUGAGAUGUUGGGUUAAGUCCCGCAACGAGCGCAACCCUUAUUGUUAGUUGCUACGCAAGAGCACUCUAGCGAGACUGCCGUUGACAAAACGGAGGAAGGUGGGGACGACGUCAAAUCAUCAUGCCCCUUAUGUCCUGGGCUACACACGUAAUACAAUGGCGGCCAACAGAGGGAUGCAAAGCUGUGAAGUGGAGCGAACCCCUAAAAGCCGUCCCAGUUCAGAUAGCAGUCUGCAACUCGACUGCAUGAAGUCGGAAUCGCUAGUAAUCGCGGAUCAGCAUGCCGCG